rnacentral:rRNA from 1 species
GAUGAACGCUAGCGGCAGGCUUAACACAUGCAAGUCGAGGGGCAGCACGGGUAGCAAUACUUGGUGGCGACCGGCGCAAGGGUGCGUAACGCGUGAGCAACAUGCCCGUAUCAGGGGGAUAAUCCAUGGAAACGUGGUCUAAUACCCCAUAGUAAGUUUUUGGGCAUCUCAAAGAUUUUAAAGCUUUGGUGGAUACGGAUUGGCUCGCGUGACAUUAGCUGGAUGGUAAGGUAACGGCUUACCAUGGCUACGAUGUCUAGGGGUUCUGAGAGGAAGGUCCCCCACACUGGAACUGAGACACGGUCCAGACUCCUACGGGAGGCAGCAGUGAGGAAUAUUGGACAAUGGAUGGAAAUCUGAUCCAGCCAUGCCGCGUGCAGGAAGACGGCCCUAUGGGUUGUAAACUGCUUUUGAUGGGAGCAAUAAGAUCUACGUGUAGAUUGAUGAGAGUACCAUACGAAUAAGCACCGGCUAACUCCGUGCC